rnacentral:rRNA from 1 species
CCUACGGGGUGCAGCAGUGAGGAAUAUUGGUCAAUGGACGAGAGUCUGAACCAGCCAAGUAGCGUGAAGGAUGACUGCCCUAUGGGUUGUAAACUUCUUUUAUAUGGGAAUAAAAUGUUCCACGUGUGGGAUUUUGUAUGUACCAUAUGAAUAAGGAUCGGCUAACUCCGUGCCAGCAGCCGCGGUAAUACGAAGGAUCCGAGCGUUAUCCGGAUUUAUUGGGUUUAAAGGGAGCGUAGGUGGAUUGUUAAGUCAGUUGUGAAAGUUUGCGGCUCAACCGUAAAAUUGCAGUUGAAACUGGCAGUCUUGAGUACAGUAGAGGUGGGCGGAAUUCGUGGUGUAGCGGUGAAAUGCUUAGAUAUCACGAAGAACUCCGAUUGCGAAGGCAGUUCACUGGACUGCAACUGACACUGAGGCUCGAAAGUGUGGGUAUCAAACAGGAUUAGAUACCCGAGUAGUC